UACGGGGGGGGGCAAGCGUUGUUCGGAAUUACUGGGCGUAAAGGGCUCGUAGGCGGCCAACUAAGUCAGACGUGAAAUCCCUCGGCUUAACCGGGGAACGGCCUCUGAUACUGGCUGGCUGGAGUUCGGGAGAGGGAUGCGGAAUUCCAGGUGUAGCGGUGAAAUGCGUAGAUAUCUGGAGGAACACCGGUGGCGAAGGCGGCAUCCUGGACCGACACUGACGCUGAGGAGCGAAAGCCAGGGGAGCAAAGCGGG
rnacentral:rRNA from 1 species